AUUGAACGCUGGCGGCAGGCCUAACACAUGCAAGUCGAGCGAGCGGCGGACGGGUGAGCAAUGUCUGGGAAACUGCCUGACGGAGGGGGAUCACUACUGGAAACGGUCACUAAUACCACAUCCCUUCAGCUAUGCCCCGAUGGGAUUAGCUAGUAGGUGGGGUAACGGCUCACGUAGGCGACGAUCCCUACCUGGUCUGAGAGGAUGACCAGCCACACUGGAACUGAGACACGGUCCAGACUCCUACGGGAGGCAGCAGUGGGGAAUAUUGGACAAUGGGCGCAAGCCUGAUGCAGCCAUGCCGCGUGUGUGAAGAAGGCCUUCGGGUUGUAAAGCACUUUCAGCGGGGAGGCGUUACCCGCAGAAGAAGCACCGGCUAACUCCGUGCCAGCCGCCGCGGUAAUAC
rnacentral:rRNA from 1 species